UGGUCUGUAAAUCAAAAAAGAAAACUUCUUUAUUAUUCAAUUUUUAGUAUAAAUUUUAAUAUUGCAAUAAAAUUCGAGUCGGGUCAGCCUUGAUAAUCGUCUUCAAUCGUAACGGAACAAAGUAGUUUAAUAAUUUCAUAUGUGCUUCGACGAUUGAAAAGGCAAUUGAACGUAGGAACGAGGGAACCGCAGGAGGAGAAGAGAAGAGAACGUCCCUACAGAUUAUCGAAAAGUCCGUUCGCACGGUGCUGUCGGCUAACAGCACGGUCAGGGAACCAAGCUGAAACAUUAAUCUUCAUUGUCUUGUAUUUGUCCGUUACCAGCCAGCAUCCUUCCCUUUCUCUCCGUCGUUCUUUCUCUCAUCCCUCGGAUCGCUCUUAUUUUCUCCAUCGACCGACUCAAACUCCGAGGCAGCUCGAUCUCGCGUUAUUAAUCUCGUUGCUCCGUGAAAGAUAAGAUCAUCGCGUGAAGCAGCAACUCGCAGAGAGGGCUACGAACCGGCGUGCUUCGACGUUGCUAAACGGUCGAGAUUGAUAGAGUAACCUCGCAGCGUGGCUCUAUUACACGUAACUUUGCAAGUGCACCUGAUAGACGCCAUCGCGGAGAUGAAAUCAUCGACGACAAGCAUAAAUUACGAGGGAACUAAAUCGGUCAGGUCAAUUUCGUUCGUUUGAUAAUUCACCGCGUACAAAGUUCACGCACGUGCGUGAGUAGGUACAGGGAAUUAUCGAGGGGCUAUCGAAUCUCGAUUCAUCUUUUUCGUUCAUCGUCCAAUUGAGUAUCGCAAAUCGGUCGUUCGCUAUCUAUCGAAAGGUGUCGAAGAUCUUAUCCCAUGGAACAGCCACUCGAGCCAGCGAUCGUUAUCGAUUAUCAGGGACGAGAUGAUAGGAGAGAAGAAGAGAUGAUAGCAUGGACGGCCAGGAAAGGCUGGAUCGUGUGGUGGCUCGUUGAGACGUGCAACGAGCCACCGUCUGCGAGGGAGACAACCAGCAGCUUGAAGCAGUCGCGUACAGGUAGUAUGUACAACGUCGUCGGUGGAAGUGGUAGGCGAGAAUCAAUAUCGCGCACCCUUGCAGACCGAGCAACCUGAGGGGUUACUUUGGUCCCCCCUUCGUGCGCCAGUCAAAGGCCCUUCUCGAAUCCCUUCCCAGCGCACCCUUUCCUUCUCUCCUUCUUCUACGACUUAACUUGCCUCUUCCUUUCAUUCCGCUCCAUUCCGCCUACCAUUCCGUUCCGUUUUAACCCGUUUCUGCACACACGUGUGCACGUCUAUCGCCGCGGCACCGGCAGACCCGUGCCGUCAUCUCGUUCCUCGUGCAAUCAGCUGGGGCACCGUUAAGUGAAAUCCUCGCGAUUUUCACCACGACGGGCCAUUCGAUAACGCCGCACGGUAAUAAAUAUCCCAGCGGGUAAAGCAGUGGUUGGAACGGCAGCAGGAAUCGAACUAAGUGUAGGAGUAAGGAAAUCGAUGCUCGGAGUCAAAGGGAGUAUCAUAGUCCCUCAAUUUUUGUACGUUUCUCGGUCAAUCUGGCUUCCGCCCCUGGAGAAAUCAGAACCUUCCGGGGGAGUCGACUUAGGAUAUCCUUGCUCGUCGAAUUCGAUAAAGGGUCGCCGGAAAUCCAUCGUCCUCCCUGCGAUAUACCUACUCGUUCUCAGGCCUCGAUCGUCGAGAGAUCGACCCCUGUGAUUCCGUUACAAUUGUGACUCCUGGCUGACCGUUUCGAUCUAACUGGGUCAUCCCGGUAGUUUCUUAGACGAUAUUGCGAUACUAUCGACGAGUAAAUUCGUGUCGAUGUAUAAUUAGAAGGUAAGCGCGAUCGAGCAUCGACCACCGUUUCCGUUUCUAAGUGUUUUCAAUUUAUCGUUUGCGAAAUCUCGAGGUUAAUCGACGCUCGUGAAACUCGACGGGAAGUUCCGAAUCUUCGGAAGCCGCGAAACUAAAAUAUUAAGACGUUCACAAUGACGAAGGGAAGUUAAACAGGAAAUCUUGCUGCUACCGAGUCCUCUGAAAGCAUCGAGUUUCACGGAAACCUCGAGAGACUGGAACGUUCGCGGUCCCGGAAGUAGUGAAAAUUUCAAGGAUAAUGAAACAUUUGGAAGAGAGUUCGAAGUUCAACAGUCUUCGACACGAGAUCCGAUAUUAGAACGUCUUCAGUUCGAACAGUUAUCACAGAUACUUGUAUUCGCUUCGUGUGCCUUGGUAAAUAAAUUAUUUUAGAAAGGCAA